CCAUUUCCUCCGUGCUCGCAGG
rnacentral:miRNA from 1 species